UACGUAGGUGGCAAGCGUUGUCCGGAUUUACUGGGCGUAAAGAGCGCGCAGGCGGUCGGAUAAGUCGAAUGUGAAAGCCCCGGCUCAACUGGGGAGGGUCAUUCGAUACUGUUCGACUCGAAGGCAGGAGAGGGAAGUGGAAUUCCCGGUGUAGUGGUGAAAUGCGUAGAUAUCGGGAGGAACACCAGUGGCGAAGGCGACUUCCUGGCCUGUUCUUGACGCUGAGGCGCGAAAGCUAGGGGAGCAAACGGGG
rnacentral:rRNA from 1 species